rnacentral:tRNA from 1 species
UGUGGCUCAGUAGUAGAGCACUUGCCUAGCAUGCAUGAGGACCUGGGUUUCUCCCCAGCA